CCAGGAGACCAGAGAACACAGAGACCGCCUCGACCCCAAACACAAAGACCACCGAGAGCUAGGCAGUGCCUCUCCCGUCUCCAAGAGAGCCCCACACCCAUCGGACCCCUCGUCCUCCAGCACCCAGAGAUCUCAGGGAAGCUCUGAGCCCACCGGACCUAGCGAAAGCAGCCCUGGCAGGGACACGGCGCAGGACAGAUACCCCUCUCCUCAGGUCUCCAUCUCCGUGGAGAACCAGUCCGGGAGAGGGAAGGCUGAGGGAGAAGAGCCCAGAGUAGAGCGCUCCUCAGCGGGGAGACAGAGCCAGCAGGCCAGCCUAGGAAACCUAGAGAAGGAGAUGAGUGGUGGAAAGCCCCACCAACACCCAGCCUCACUCAUACAGCCCCCCCAACACCCAGCCUCACUCAUACAGCCCCCCAGGACUGACAACAGGGCUGGGGUGCCCCGAGCUGUCAGAGAGAGAGAGAGAAAGAAAGAGAGAGAGUGGCAGAUGCAACAGAUGAGGGAGAAGAUGGAGAAGGAGAGAGAGAGAGGGGUGGAUAGGGAGAAGGAGAGCGAUAGGGAGAAGGAGAGAGAGAGAGGGGUGGAUAGGGAGAAGGAGAGAGAGAGAGGGGUGGAUAGGGAGAAGGAGAGAGAGAGAGGGGUGGAUAGGGAGAAGGAGAGAGAGAGAGGGGUCGAUAGGGAGAAGGAGAGAGAGAGAGGGGUGGAUAGGGCAAAGGAGAGAGGGAGGGAGAACCCUAAAGUCAGACCUCCUCCCUCGGUCCCUUCCUCCAGACCCCCUCCCUCGGUCCCUUCUUCCAGAUCUCCUCCCUCGGUCCCUUCUUCCAGACCUCCUCCCUCGGUCCCUUCUUCCAGAUCUCCUCCCUUGGUCCCUUCUUCCAGAUCUCCUCCCUCGGUCCCUUCCUCCAGACCCCUCCCUCGGUCCCUUCUUCCAGAUCCCCUCCUGACCUGGUCAGAGAGACAGAUGAGGCCUUCGAACCUGACUACAGCGAGGGAGAGAUCUCAGAGGGGGAGGAGGAGGGAGAGAGAGCGGUGGAGGGAGAGAGAGCGCUGGAGGGAGAGAGAGCGCUGGAGGGAGAGAGAGCGCUGGAGGGAGAGAGAGCGCUGGAGGGAGAGAGAGCGCUGGAGGGAGAGAGAGCGCUGGAGGGAGAGAGAGCGCUGGAGGGAGAGAGAGCGCUGGAGGGAGAGAGAGCGCUGGAGGGAGAGAGAGCGCUGGAGGGAGAGGGCAGCGGCAGAAGUCGUAGCAGCAGCGCCAGCUCUGUCGGUAGCCUGGGCAACAAGAAAGACAAGAAGAAGAAAGAUAGAAAAGAGAAGAAGAAACAGAAGAAGAAGAAGAAGAAGAAGAAGGAUAGAAAGCAGAAGAGACAGGGGAGCCUGGACGCUGAGGAGGGAGAGAUCACGGGACUGAAACACAAACACAAGAAGAAGAACAAGGAGAAAGAGGACAAUGAGAGAGAAGAAGAAGAGGAGGAGGAGGAGAGAAGAGGAGAAGACCAAAUGGCUAGCGUAGCUUUAUGAGACGUUUUCGUUGUGAAGCGUUUUUCGACAUGUUUCAGCCCAAGGCUCGUGGCCCCUAAACCCUUAUUCCCUAACUAGUGCACGACUUAAGGACAAGCCUAGUGUACUAAGAAGGGAAUUCGGGUGCCAUUUUGUCGGAGGAAAAAGAGACUUGGUUUUUCUUCCCUCCUGUCAAUGAACUGUAAGGUCCUCAGAGAGGAUAUAUCACACAGCCUGUAUUCCAAACACCUAUUCCCUAUAUAGGGCCCUACUAUAGACCAGAUCCCUAUUCCCUAUAUAGGGCCCUACUAUAGACCAGAGCCCUAUUCCCUAUAUAGGGCCCUAUGUAGGGAACGUGGGUGUUGUUUGUGACUGGACAGCCCUGUAGUGUAGAUCGUAAAGAGGACUUAAACCGCUCUGCUUUUGCCAAAGCUGUUCACUCUAGUUCAACACUUUAUCUAAAGGGGAGGUUUUUGUUUUCUCACUCUAGUUCAACACUUUAUCUAAAGGGGAGGGUUUUGUUUUCUCACUCUAGUUCAACACUUUAUCUAAAGGGGAGGUUUUUGUUUUUGUGGGGUUUUUUUGCUGAGGAUUUGAAAUAAUUUAAUGAAUUUAAAGGCUGAUGUAUAAUACAAUACAUUAUUUUAUUUUUUUUGGGGGGGGACUCUUGCUAAAACAGAGGCUGUUUGCUUUUGGACGAGUCGCUUUACUUGAAUUUAAAGGCUGAUGUAUAAUAAAAUACAUUAAAUGAUGCUUCAAACUAUUUUUUGUUGUUGUGUGUUUACAAAAAUAAAUAAAAAGAAUUGCUAAACCUUGA